AAUGAACGCUGGCGGCGCGCCUAAUACAUGCAAGUCGAGCGAGAAGACGUAGCAAUACGUUUGUAAAGCGGCGAACGGGUGAGGAAUACAUGGGUAACCCUACCCUCGAGUGGGGAAUAACUAGCCGAAGGUUAGCUAAUACCGCGUACGCUCCUUGGACUUCGGUUCAGGGAGGAAAGCGAUACCGUGGUAUCGCGCUCUUGGUUGGGCUCAUGUCCUAUCAGCUUGUUGGU
rnacentral:rRNA from 1 species